UGUACCCCCCUAUUGAUCCCUGAUCAAUCGAUCGCCUACAGCCACCAACCAAUCCCCAAUUAAUUGAUCCUCUGUAGAUCCCUGAUUGAUCCCCAAUAGCCUCCAAUAGAUCCGAUUGAUCCCCAAUAGCCCCCAAUAGAUCCCUGAUUGAUCCCCAAUAGCCCCAAUAGAUCUGAUUGAUCCCCAAUAGCCUCCAAUAGAUCCCCGAUUGAUCCCCAAUAGCCCCCAAUAGAUCCGAUUGAUCCCCAAUAGCCCCCAAUAGAUCCCUGAUUGAUCCCCAAUAGCCCCCAAUAGAUCCGAUUGAUCCCCAAUAACUGUUCCAGGUGUCUCCAGGUGUGCCCAGGUGUCUCCAGGUGCGUUCCCAGGUGCGUCCAGGUGUGUUACAGGUGUGCCCAAAGUCUCUCAGCGAUGUACCCAAGGUGUCAAAUCCCAACCAGAUCCCAUUUUUCUGUCCCAAGGCUGUUCCAGGUGUCUCCAGGUGUGCCCAGGUGUCUCCAGGUGCGUUCCCAGGUGCGUCCAGGUGCGUCCCCAGGUGCGUCCAGGUGUGUUCCCAGGUGCACCCAGGUGUCCCCAGGUGCGUCCAGGUGUGUUCCCAGGUGCACCCAGGUGUCCCCAGGUGCGUCCAGGUGUGUUCCCAGGUGCACCCAGGUGUCCCCAGGUGCGUCCAGGUGUGUUCCCAGGUGCACCCAGGUGUCCCCA
rnacentral:lncRNA from 12 species